GCCUUCGGGCCUGAGUAAAGUGGCGCACGGGUGAGUAACGCGUGGGUAAUCUGCCUCUAAGUUGGGAAUAACUCAUCGAAAGGUGGGCUAAUACCGAAUAAUGCUGCAACACCGCGGUGAAGCAGCCAAAGAUGGCCUCUGCUUGCAUGCUAUCGCUAAGAGAUGAGCCCGCGUACCAUUAGCUAGUUGGUAGGGUAACGGCCUACCAAGGCUACGAUGGUUAGCUGAUCUGAGAGGAUGAUCAGCCACACUGGAACUGAGACACGGUCCAGACUCCUACGGGAGGCAGCAGUGAGGAAUCUUGCGCAAUGGGGGAAACCCUGACGCAGCAACGCCGCGUGAGUGAGGAAGGCCUUCGGGUCGUAAAGCUCUGUCGGGUGGAAAGAAACGUAUAGGUGUUAAUAGCAUUUAUACUUGACGGUACCGCCAAAGGAAGCACCGGCUAACUCCGUGCCAGCAGCCGCGGUAAUAAU
rnacentral:rRNA from 1 species